GGGUUGUGAGGUUAAGCGACUAAGCGUACACGGUGGAUGCCCUGGCAGUCAGAGGCGAUGAAGGACGUGCUAAUCUGCGAAAAGCGUCGGUAAGGUGAUAUGAACCGUUAUAACCGGCGAUGUCCGAAUGGGGAAACCCAGUGUGAUUCGUCACACUAUCGUUAACUGAAUACAUAGGUUAACGAGGCGAACCGGGGGAACUGAAACAUCUAAGUACCCCGAGGAAAAGAAAUCAACCGAGAUUCCCCCAGUAGCGGCGAGCGAACGGGGAGCAGCCCAGAGUCUGAAUCAGCUUGUGUGUUAGUGGAACGGUCUGGAAAGUCCGACGGUACAGGGUGAUAGUCCCGUACACCAAAAUGCACAGGUUGUGAACUCGAAGAGUAGGGCGGGACACGUGGUAUCCUGUCUGAAUAUGGGGGGACCAUCCUCCAAGGCUAAAUACUCCUGACUGACCGAUAGUGAACCAGUACCGUGAGGGAAAGGCGAAAAGAACCCCGGCGAGGGGAGUGAAAAAGAACCUGAAACCGUGUACGUACAAGCAGUGGGAGCACCUUCGGGUGUGACUGCGUACCUUUUGUAUAAUGGGUCAGCGACUUAUAUUCUGUAGCAAGGUUAACCGUAUAGGGGAGCCGCAGGGAAACCGAGUCUUAACUGGGCGUUAAGUUGCAGGGUAUAGACCCGAAACCCGGUGAUCUAGCCAUGGGCAGGUUGAAGGUUGGGUAACACUAACUGGAGGACCGAACCGACUAAUGUUGAAAAAUUAGCGGAUGACUUGUGGCUGGGGGUGAAAGGCCAAUCAAACCGGGAGAUAGCUGGUUCUCCCCGAAAGCUAUUUAGGUAGCGCCUCGUGAACUCAUCUUCGGGGGUAGAGCACUGUUUCGGCUAGGGGGUCAUCCCGACUUACCAACCCGAUGCAAACUACGAAUACCGAAGAAUGUUAUCACGGGAGACACACGGCGGGUGCUAACGUCCGUCGUGAAGAGGGAAACAACCCAGACCGCCAGCUAAGGUCCCAAAGUCAUGGUUAAGUGGGAAACGAUGUGGGAAGGCACAGACAGCCAGGAUGUUGGCUUAGAAGCAGCCAUCAUUUAAAGAAAGCGUAAUAGCUCACUGGUCGAGUCGGCCUGCGCGGAAGAUGUAACGGGGCUAAACCAUGCACCGAAGCUGCGGCAGCGACACUAUGUGUUGUUGGGUAGGGGAGCGUUCUGUAAGCCUGCGAAGGUGACCUGUGAGGGUUGCUGGAGGUAUCAGAAGUGCGAAUGCUGACAUAAGUAACGAUAAAGCGGGUGAAAAGCCCGCUCGCCGGAAGACCAAGGGUUCCUGUCCAACGUUAAUCGGGGCAGGGUGAGUCGACCCCUAAGGCGAGGCCGAAAGGCGUAGUCGAUGGGAAACAGGUUAAUAUUCCUGUACUUGGUGUUACUGCGAAGGGGGGACGGAGAAGGCUAUGUUAGCCGGGCGACGGUUGUCCCGGUUUAAGCAUGUAGGCUGGUUAUCCAGGCAAAUCCGGAUAAUCAAGGCUGAGGUGUGAUGACGAGGCACUACGGUGCUGAAGUAACAAAUGCCCUGCUUCCAGGAAAAGCCUCUAAGCAUCAGGUAACAUCAAAUCGUACCCCAAACCGACACAGGUGGUCAGGUAGAGAAUACCAAGGCGCUUGAGAGAACUCGGGUGAAGGAACUAGGCAAAAUGGUGCCGUAACUUCGGGAGAAGGCACGCUGGUGUGUAGGUGAAGUCCCUGCGGAUGGAGCUGAGACCAGUCGAAGAUACCAGCUGGCUGCAACUGUUUAUUAAAAACACAGCACUGUGCAAACACGAAAGUGGACGUAUACGGUGUGACGCCUGCCCGGUGCCGGAAGGUUAAUUGAUGGGGUUAUCCGUAAGGAGAAGCUCUUGAUCGAAGCCCCGGUAAACGGCGGCCGUAACUAUAACGGUCCUAAGGUAGCGAAAUUCCUUGUCGGGUAAGUUCCGACCUGCACGAAUGGCGUAAUGAUGGCCAGGCUGUCUCCACCCGAGACUCAGUGAAAUUGAACUCGCUGUGAAGAUGCAGUGUACCCGCGGCAAGACGGAAAGACCCCGUGAACCUUUACUAUAGCUUGACACUGAACAUUGAGCCUUGAUGUGUAGGAUAGGUGGGAGGCUUUGAAGCGUGGACGCCAGUCUGCGUGGAGCCAACCUUGAAAUACCACCCUUUAAUGUUUGAUGUUCUAACGUUGGCCCCUUAUCGGGGUUGCGGACAGUGUCUGGUGGGUAGUUUGACUGGGGCGGUCUCCUCCCAAAGCGUAACGGAGGAGCACGAAGGUUAGCUAAUCCUGGUCGGACAUCAGGAGGUUAGUGCAAUGGCAUAAGCUAGCUUGACUGCGAGCGUGACGGCGCGAGCAGGUGCGAAAGCAGGUCAUAGUGAUCCGGUGGUUCUGAAUGGAAGGGCCAUCGCUCAACGGAUAAAAGGUACUCCGGGGAUAACAGGCUGAUACCGCCCAAGAGUUCAUAUCGACGGCGGUGUUUGGCACCUCGAUGUCGGCUCAUCACAUCCUGGGGCUGAAGUAGGUCCCAAGGGUAUGGCUGUUCGCCAUUUAAAGUGGUACGCGAGCUGGGUUUAGAACGUCGUGAGACAGUUCGGUCCCUAUCUGCCGUGGGCGCUGGAGAAUUGAGGGGGGCUGCUCCUAGUACGAGAGGACCGGAGUGGACGCAUCACUGGUGUUCGGGUUGUCAUGCCAAUGGCACUGCCCGGUAGCUAAAUGCGGAAGAGAUAAGUGCUGAAAGCAUCUAAGCACGAAACUUGCCCCGAGAUGAGUUCUCCCUGAGACUUUAAGUCUCCUGAAGGAACGUUGAAGACGACGACGUUGAUAGGCCGGGUGUGUAAGCGCAGCGAUGCGUUGAGCUAACCGGUACUAAUGAACCGUGAGGCUUAACCUUACAACGCCGAAG
rnacentral:rRNA from 1 species